rnacentral:lncRNA from 1 species
UUUGGAGGUUAUGUAAAUUAUCUCUCUCUUUUAUAGUUUGUGUUUAAUGAUCACUGAUAAAUCCAUUGGCCGUGUAUUAAUGGUUACGGUAGUGAAUAACAUUUUUAGAGGUUUUUUUUUUCUUUUGCUUGUUUCAGAAAAAAAAAAUCUGUAGAGAAUGUAUGAGGAUAGUUCUUGUUUUGAUCCUAAUCCAACGCUGGAAGCAACCGUCGACAACAACGGCGGCUACUAUGACUCAACCACGGCCACAGAAAUAGAUUUUACGGUAAGGCAACAGUUCCAACCACUAGUCAUGAUCGCCGGGAGCACAACAAACACCUUCAGUGACGACCUAAAACUCCCAACGAUGGAUGAGUUCUCUGUUUUUCCAUCGGUUGUCUCUUCAGAAACUCAAAACCAAAUCAGCAACGAUAACAACCAUCUGAUCCAACAGAUGAUUCACGACUCAAACUGGGCUGCUUCUGUUGACAACUAUGGAUUCUUCAUGAACCCUUCAGAUCAAAACACAACAAUAACUCCAACUCCUGAUCUUCUCAGCCUCUUGCAUUUGCCUAAAAGUUCAGUUCCAUUACCAAGCUCAAACCUAUCGGACAUAAUGUCCGGUUCUUGCAUCUCAUACGACCCGCUAGAAUCUUACAAUAUUUUUUGAUAAAAGAGAGACAUAAAUUAAAUCCCCUAUAUAUUAAUUAUUCAAUAUAUAUUUAUUAUUUCAUAAUAUGUAAAAAACAUAUAAUACAUAAAAUAAUCUCUUAUAUAUUAAAGUACAUGUCACUCAAGCGAUAAAAAUUUGACAUGUGUAAUUGUUUUAUAGAAAAAAAAAGCAUUUUAAAAAAUCCUCCGUUUUUAGCUUUUAUGAAACUGCAAAAUCCCAAUCGCUAAAAUUUCUCACAUCAUACUCACACACGUUCUAAUUUUAAAAAGAAAAUUUCUCAUUCCUAAAUUUCAACACGUUCAUUUUCCUAAAUUCUCUCAUAUCAUUAUUACAAAUGAUUUCAACUCCUACAUAACCCGCAAGCAAGAUUUAUUGUUCAUCUUUCUUUCUUCUUUUUCUUUUUUUUUGGUCAAAAGGAUUUUUUUUUCUUUCUCCCCUUACUUCUAUUAUAUUUUUGGGUCUUGGAUUAGGGGUGUUAAAAUUCCCCAUAUUAAUUGAAAUUGGCCCAAUUCCAAACUGGAUUACAUCUGAAAGCCCAUAAGACUCUUAAAGACGAGCGUUACCAUAAGUGUGAAAGAGUUAAUAUUUGUGGAUUGAUGGAAAUGACGUAACUAUCCUUGACCGUAAAAAUGCAAGGAAAAAAAGGAGAUCUUUUUCAGUGGGGUCCACUGCCGUUGUGUCCCCCAAAAGCGAGAUUGCAUGACCCAACUGAUCUCUGAUAAUAUACAGAUUUAAUAAUAUUAAUUGUUUCAUAUUAAUUAAUACACCCUAACCUCAUCAAACUGAAUUAAAAGCAAACGUAAAAGCUUCCUUCUUUUCCUUGAAAUUUAAGUUCAAAAUGUUGAAAUGAUCUUGGAAGGUGUAAAGCAGAAACUUCUGAAAAAUAUAGUUUGUGGUAUUUAGGGUUUCCAAGGAAGACCAAGAAGAAGAAGAUCAACAACGCAUAACUCUGCUGGUAAUUAGAGCUUUUCAUUCUCAAAUACAUGUGUGCUAAGUUUAAGAUUGAGUCAAAACAAAAGAAAAUAUGAGAGAAAAGAAGAUAUAUAUCAAACAUCAAAGUUUAGCAUAAAACAAUACCUAAAAGGAAUUAGUUUGAGAUUAGGUUUGGAGGUUAUGCACAUUAUCUUUCUAUUUAUAGUCUGUGUUUAAUGAUCAUUUAUAAAUCCAUUGGCUGUGUCUUGAUGGUUACGGUAGUGAGCAAUAACAUUUUUGUAGUUUUUUUUUUUUUGCUUGUUUCAGAAAUAAUCGGUAGAGAAUGUACGAGGAUAGUUCUUGUUUUGAUCCUAAUCCAACGGUGGAAGCAACCGUCGACAACAACGGCGGCUACUAUGACUCAACCACGGCGACAGAAACAGAUUUUACGGUAAGUCAACAGUUCCAACCACCGGUCAUGAUCUCCGGGAGCACAAUAAACACCUUCAGCGACGAGCUUAAGCUCCCAACAAUGGAUGAGUUCUCUGUCUUCCCACCUGUUGUCUCUUUCCCAAACUCAGAUAGUCAGAACCAAAUCAGCAAUGACAACAACAACCAUCUGAUCCGACAGAUGAUACACGACUCAAACUGGGCUGCUUCUGUAGACAACUAUGGAUUCUUCAUGAACACUUCAGAUCAAAACACAACAACAACUCCAACUCCUGAUCUUCUCAGCCUCUUGCAUUUGCCUAAAUGCUCAGUUCCAUUACCAAGCUCAAACCUAUCGGAUAUAAUGCCUGGUUCUUGCAUCUCAUACGACCCGCUCUUCAACUUAAACCUUCCUCCACAGCCUCCGGUGAUCCUUACUGCUGAUGACUACUCAGGGUUCUUUCUUGGAACCGAU